rnacentral:rRNA from 1 species
CCUACGGGUGGCAGCAGUGGGGAAUAUUGCACAAUGGGGGAAACCCUGAUGCAGCGACGCCGCGUGAGUGCAGAAGUAUUUCGGUAUGUAAAGCUCUGUCAGCAGGGAAGAAAAUGACGGUACCUGACCAAGAUGCCCCGGUUAACUACCUGCCAGCAGCCGCGGGAAUACGUAGGGUGCAAGCGUUAUACGGAUUUACUGGGUGUAAAGGGAGCGUAGACGGCAGGGCAAGUCUGGAGUGAAAGGCGGGGGCUCAACCCCCGGACUGCACUUGAAACUGCCAGGCUGGAGUGCAGGAGAGGUAAGUGGAAUUCCUAGUGUAGCGGUGAAAUGCGUAGAUAUUAGGAGGAACACCAGUGGCGAAGGCGGCUUACUGGACUGUAACUGACGUUGAGGCUCGAAAGCGUGGGGAGCAAACAGGAUUAGAUACCCCAGUAGUC